GGACGGUCCCGCCUGCCCAAUACAUUGCAGUUCGUACGCUUCUUUUUUCCACCGGAAGCUUGCUCCACCGGAAAAAGAGGAAGUGGCGAACGGGUGAGUAACACGUGGGUAACCUGCCCAUCAGAAGGGGAUAACACUUGGAAACAGGUGCUAAUACCGUAUAACAAUCGAAACCGCAUGGUUUUGAUUUGAAAGGCGCUUUCGGGUGUCGCUGAUGGAUGGACCCGCGGUGCAUUAGCUAGUUGGUGAGGUAACGGCUCACCAAGGCCACGAUGCAUAGCCGACCUGAGAGGGUGAUCGGCCACAUUGGGACUGAGACACGGCCCAAACUCCUACGGGAGGCAGCAGUAGGGAAUCUUCGGCAAUGGACGAAAGUCUGACCGAGCAACGCCGCGUGAGUGAAGAAGGUUUUCGGAUCGUAAAACUCUGUUGUUAGAGAAGAACAAGGAUGAGAGUAACUGUUCAUCCCUUGACGGUAUCUAACCAGAAAGCCACGGCUAACUACGUGCCAGCAGCCGCGGUAAUACGUAGGUGGCAAGCGUUGUCCUGAUUUAUUGGGGGUAAAGCGAGCGCAGGCGGUUUCUUAAGUCUGAUGUGAAAGCCCCCGCCUCAACCGGGGAGGGUCAUUGGAAACUGGGAGACUUGAGUGCAGAAGAGGAGAGAGCGAGAGACAUGCACACACUCGAAGGGGGCGAGAAGACCGUAUAGAGACGAUUAGUAUUAUACGGCAAGCGACACAACCGGGCGGGGCGAACACAGCGCGUGUCAACUCGGAAUCUCCUUGUACUUGGCCCCCCCUCAGCGGCUUCUUCAACAGCCCCUUGGAGGCGACCUCAAAAGCGCGGGAGCAUGUGGUUUUCUUACAAACAAUGCGAACAACUCUUGCUGCUUUUGACAUUUUUUGACCACUUUAGAGAUAGAGCUUCCCCUUUGGGGGCAAAGUGACAGGUGGUGCAUGGUUGUCGUCAGCUCGUCUCGUGAGAUGUUGGGUUAAGUCCCGCAACGAGCGCAACCCUUAUUGUUAGUUGCCAUCAUUCAGUUGGGCACUUUAGCAAGACUGCCGGUGACAAACCGGAGGAAGGUGGGGAUGACGUCAAAUCAUCAUGCCCCUUAUGACCUGGGCUACACACGUGCUACAAUGGGAAGUACAACGAGUUGCGAAGUCGCGAGGCUAAGCUAAUCUCUUAAAGCUUCUCUCAGUUCGGAUUGCAGGCUGCAACUCGCCUGCAUGAAGCCGGAAUCGCUAGUAAUCGCGGAUCAGCACGCCGCGGUGAAUACGUUCCCGGGCCUUGUACACACCGCCCGUCACACCACGAGAGUUUGUAACACCCGAAGUCGGUGAGGUAACCUUUUUGGAGCCAGCCGCCUAAGGUGGGAUAGAUGAUUGGGGUGAAGUCGUAACAAGAGACUUU
rnacentral:rRNA from 1 species